UUUCCGUAGGUGAACCUGCGGAAGGAUCAUUGUCGAAACCUACAAGACGGAACGACCCGUGAAUCGGUGAGAAAUCACUCGGGAGACGGGCCCACCGGCCUUUCUCCCGCGGCCCCGAGCCAAGGUUGUGGUUCAGAUCCACGUCCUUCGCGAAGGGCAAAACCAACAAACCCCGGCGCAAAACGCGCCAAGGAAAACAAAGGAAAGAUGCGUGCUCCCUCCGUCCCGGGAACGGUGCGUUGGGAGUCGCGUCGUCGUGUUAUCGUAUUCUAAACGACUCUCGGCAACGGAUAUCUCGGCUCUCGCAUCGAUGAAGAACGUAGCGAAAUGCGAUACUUGGUGUGAAUUGCAGAAUCCCGUGAACCAUCGAGUUUUUGAACGCAAGUUGCGCCCAAAGCCGUCAGGCCGAGGGCACGCCUGCCUGGGUGUCACGAAAAGUCACCGAACAUCCCUCCCCCACCGCCGACGAGCGGGGGGCGGCGAAGGACGGCGGACGUUGGCCUCCCGUGCGCUCGCGCGCGCGGUUGGCCCAAAAGUCAGGCCCCGCCCGCGAGGCAGCCACGGCACGCGGUGGUAGAAAGCGCACGCUCUCCUCGGACACCGUCGUGGGCUAGCCCGGUCUACGGGGGGCCAAAGACCCUGACGCGGAGCGUCGUAUCGCGAGGCGACCCCAGGUCAGGCGGGAACACCCGCCGAGUUUAAG
rnacentral:rRNA from 1 species